UCCUCCCUCUUCCUUCGCGCUUAACACAUGCAAGUCGAGCGAUGAAACUUUAACAGACCCCUUCGGGGAGAAGAUAAAGUGGAUUAGCGGCGGACGGGUGAGUAACACGUGAGUAACCUGCCUUAGACAUUGGGAUAGCCUCGGGAAACCGGGAUUAAUACCAAAUAAAAUCAUAAUGACACAUGUCAUCACGAUCAAAACUCCGGUGGUCUAAGAUGGACUCGCGUCCCAUUAGCUAGUUGGUAGAGUAAAAGCCUACCAAGGCGACGAUGGGUAGCCGGCCUGAGAGGGUGAAUGGCCACAUUGGAACUAAGAAACGGUCCAAACUCCUACGGGAGGCAGCAGUGGGGAAUAUUGCACAAUGGAGGGAAGUCUGAUGCAGCGACGCCGCGUGAACGAAGAAGGCGUUAGAGUCGUAAAGUUCUUUUAUAUGGGAAGAUAAUGACGUUACCCUAAGAAAAAGCCCCGGCUAACUACGUG
rnacentral:rRNA from 1 species